GACGAACGCUGGCGGCGUGCCUAAUACAUGCAAGUCGAACGGAAAGGCCCUGCUCUUGCGGGGUGCUCGAGUGGCGAACGCGUGAGUAUCACGUGAGUAACCUGUCCUUGACUUAGUGAUAACUCUAGGAAACUGGGGCUAAUAUCGGAUAUGAUCUCCUGAUGCACGUUGUGGGAUGGAAAGUUUCGGCGGUUGGGGAUCGUCUCGCGGCUUAUCAGCUUGUUGGUGGGGUAGUGGCUUACCAAGGCUUUGACGGGUAGCCGGCCUGAGAGGGUGACCGGCCACAUUGGGACUGAGAGACGGCCCAGACUCGUACGGUAGGCAGCAGUGGGGAAUAUGGCACAAUGGGCGGAAGCCUGAUGCAGCAGCGCUGCGUGCGGAAUGACGGCCUUCGAGUUGUAAACCGCUUUCGACUGUGACGAAGCGUGAGUGACGGUAAUGGGUAAAGAAGCACCGGCUAACUACGUG
rnacentral:rRNA from 1 species